AUUGAACGCUGGCGGCAGGCCUAACACAUGCAAGUCGAACGAGUGGCGGACGGGGGAGUAAUGUCUGGGGAAAAGCCCGAUGGGGGGGGAGAAAUACUGGAAACGGGAGCUAAAAUCGCAUACGAUAGGAGGUGCCCAGAUGGGAUUAGCUAGUAGGUGGGGUAAUGGCUCACCUAGGCGACGCUCCCUAGCUGGUCUGAGAGGAUGACCAGCCACACUGGAACGGAGACACGGUCCAGACUCCUACGGGAGGCAGCAGUGGGGAAUAUUGCACAAUGGGCGCAAGCCUGAUGCAGCCAUGCCGCGUGUAUGAAGAAGGCCUUCGGGUUGUAAAGUACUUUCAGCGGGGAGGCGUUACCCGCAGAAGAAGCACCGGCUAACUCCGUGCCAGCAGCCGCGGUAAUUC
rnacentral:rRNA from 1 species